rnacentral:rRNA from 1 species
CCCUUAGAUGUUCUGGGCCGCACGCGCGCUACACUGAUGCAUUCAACGAGUUUCUUCCUGGUCCGAGAGGAAUGGGUAACCUUUUGAAAGUGCAUCGUGAUAGGGAUAGACUAUUGCAAUUAUUGGUCUUCAACGAGGAAUUCCUAGUAGACGUAGUUCAUCAGACUGCAUCGAUUACGUCCCUGCCCUUUGUACACACCGCCCGUCGCUCCUACCGAUUGAGUGGUCCGGUGAGGCUUUGGGAUCUGAGCGGAAAGAGCGUUUCGCUGUUUCUGCUCGGAAAACUCAGUCGAACCUUAUCAUUUAGAGGAAGGAGAAGUCGUGACA